CCCUACGGGGGGCAGCAGGGAAUUUUCGUCAAUGGGCGCAAGCCUGAACGAGCAAUGCCGCGUGAACGAGGAAGGUCUUCGGAUCGUAAAGUUCUGUUGAAGGGGAAAAAGAGCGGAGAGAGGAAAUGCUUUCUGAUUGAUAUUACCCUUCGAGGAAGUCACGGCUAACUACGUGCCAGCAGCCGCGGUAAUACGUAGGUGGCGAGCGUUAUCCGGAAUGAUUGGGCGUAAAGGGUGCGUAGGCGGCCUGCUAAGUCUGGAGUGAAAGGUACCGGCUCAACCGGUACAGGCUCUGGAAACUGGCG
rnacentral:rRNA from 1 species